ACGCCCAAUUUGGAUUUAAACCCAUGACCCUGAGAUUAAGAGUCUCAUACUCUACCGAUCGAGCUAGCCGGAAUUGAGCG